CAUCGAGAUGCAUCACUAAAGAGCCCGAGUACUACAUCGUGAUUCCAUUCGUAUUAAGCCAUAACCAUUUGGUAUUAAUUUGAUAUUGUUUGUUGUAGACCCACCCCCAGCAACGUCCAAUUUGCAUGUCCUUCACGCUUGAAAGUCGCGGAGAUCAUUACGAACAUCUGUCAAUGCGGUGGUGUAAGGUUGGGUGAGAACAGAAAGUGUUUGCUUUAUUAUCGAGCAGGUAUAAUAGUCGUAAGGCUUAAGAGAGGGGUCAGGGUGAGAAAAAGUUGUAUAAAUGGCAAGAGAAAAGUCGAUAGGGAUCAGUCGAGUGAGUACCUCCAUCACGGCAACAACUGCAUCCCACAAUUUGUCACCAACUGCCUUCUUCAUUAUACAACCAGUUCGCAAUCAUGGUUAACUCUGGCGCCGUGCUGCUGUUUGGUGUUGUAUCGUUGAAGGUUGGGUCGACCACGGGUUUACUGAUGUCUUCUGGUGGAGACCAAGCAACAGCAGCGAAAGAAUACUACACCACGCCGCCGUCUUACUACGCAACGAAGUCAACAUACGCAACAUCUACUUACAACACCGAGGCCCCCGUUCCCCCAAGUGUACACCACCAAUGCUCAAGAGUUACGUUACAAAUUACGCUGCCCUGAGUUACAUCACCAAAGCGCCUGAGUACUACAUCACCGAGGCACUACCACUGAGGCGGCGAAGUACUACGUAGCCCAGGCUUACAACACUGCAGCUGCUCCUUCAUACUACGUUGAACUGAAAAACUACACCAAGGCUGCAGUUAACUACACCACAACCUACGCUACACCUAGCUACUAUGACGAAGCCCCGAACUACUACACCGAAGAGGCCACAUGUUACACAUCAACGUACAGUGCCCCAGUUUACUACACCGAGGAACCCAAGUAUUAAUCUGCUCCAAUCUACUACCAAACUGAGGCUCCUGUUUGCUACACCAAGGCCACCGAGUAUUACACUACAACCAAACGUAAACUAUGUCGUCGUACUGAUGUUGGUUGUAUUAUCCUUGAUGGCUGGGUUGAUCACUGGUGUACCGAUGUCUCCUGGAUAUGGCGGUUACCAAACCGAAACGCCGGCGUCUUACCACACAACAACAUACGUAGCAACCGGAUACUACACCCCCAAGGCCCUAGAGUAUUACACCAUAACUAAUUAUGUCUCGAACUUCUACACCGAAGCUUCCAAGUUAAACUCAGCCCCGAGUUAAACCACCAAGGCAGCGGAGUACUACACCACCAAGGCAGCGGAGUACUACACCACCAAGGCAGCGGAGUACUACACCACCAAGGCAGCGGAGUACUACACCA